rnacentral:rRNA from 1 species
AACGAACGCUGGCGGCGCGCCUAAUACAUGCAAGUCGGAGCGAGAAGACGUAGCAAUACGUUUGUAAAGCGGCGAACGGGUGAGGAAUACAUGGGUAACCUACCCGUCGAGUGGGGAUAACUAGCCGAAAGGUUAGCUAAUACCGCGGUACGCUCCGUUGGACUUCGGUUCAGGGAGGAAAGCGAUACCGUGGGUAGUCGGCGCUCUUGGAUGGGCUCAGUGUCCUAUCAGCUUGUUGGUGAGGAACGGCUCACCAAGGCUUCGACGGGUAGCUGGUCUGAGAGGACGAUCAGCCACACUGGGCACUGCGACACGGGCCAGACUCCUACGGGAGGCAGCAGUAAGGAAUAUUGCGCAAUGGGCGAAAGCCUGACGCAGCGACGCCGCGUGGGGGAGUGAAGGUCUUC